AGUGAACGCUGGCGGUAGGCCUAACACAUGCAAGUCGAACGGCAGCACAGUAAGAGCUUGCUCUUACGGGUGGCGAGUGGCGGACGGGUGAGGAAUACAUCGGAAUCUACUUUUUCGUGGGGGAUAACGUAGGGAAACUUACGCUAAUACCGCAUACGACCUACGGGUGAAAGCAGGGGAUCUUCGGACCUUGCGCGAUUGAAUGAGCCGAUGUCGGAUUAGCUAGUUGGCGGGGUAAAGGCCCACCAAGGCGACGAUCCGUAGCUGGUCUGAGAGGAUGGUCAGCCACACUGGAACUGAGACGCGGUCCAGACUCCUACGGGAGGCAACAGUGGGGAAUAUUAGGCAAUGGGCGGAAGCCUGAUCCAGCCAUACCACGUGGGUGGAGAAGGCCUUCCGGUUGUAAAGCCCUUUUGUUGGGAAAGAAAAGCAGCAGGUUAAUACCCCGCUGUUCUGACGGUACCCAAAGAAUAAGCACCGGCUAACUUCGUG
rnacentral:rRNA from 1 species